UACGAAGGGGGCUAGCGUUGCUCGGAAUUACUGGGCGUAAAGGGCGCGUAGGCGGGUCGUUAAGUCAGAGGUGAAAGCCCAGGGCUCAACCCUGGAAUUGCCUUUGAUACUGGCGACCUUGAGUAUGGCAGAGGUGUGUGGAACUCCGAGUGUAGAGGUGAAAUUCGUAGAUAUUCGGAAGAACACCAGUGGCGAAGGCGACACACUGGGCCAUUACUGACGCUGAGGCGCGAAAGCGUGGGGAGCAAAC
rnacentral:rRNA from 1 species